UCCGUAGGUGAACCUGCGGAAGGAUCAUUACCGAGUGAGGGUCCUCUGGGUCCAACCUCCCACCCGUGUUUAUCGUACCUUGUUGCUUCGGCGGGCCCGCCGCAAGGCCGCCGGGGGGCAUCUGCCCUCUGGCCCGCGCCCGCCGAAGACACCAUUGAACGCUGUCUGAAGAUUGCAGUCUGAGCAAUUAGUUAAAUAACUUAAAACUUUCAACAACGGAUCUCUUGGUUCCGGCAUCGAUGAAGAACGCAGCGAAAUGCGAUACGUAAUGUGAAUUGCAGAAUUCAGUGAAUCAUCGAGUCUUUGAACGCACAUUGCGCCCCCUGGUAUUCCGGGGGGCAUGCCUGUCCGAGCGUCAUUGCUGCCCUCAAGCACGGCUUGUGUGUUGGGCUCCGUCCUCCUUCCGGGGGACGGGCCCGAAAGGCAGCGGCGGCACCGCGUCCGGUCCUCGAGCGUAUGGGGCUUCGUCACCCGCUCUGCAGGCCCGGCCGGCGCUUGCCGACACAUCAAUCUUUUUUCCAGGUUGACCUCGGAUCAGGUAGGGAUACCCGCUGAACUUAAGCAUAUCAAUAAGCGGAGGA
rnacentral:rRNA from 1 species